UCUACACACUUAUUGAUUCUACUUUAUUGCAUGUAACACACUUGUUCAUACUUCGUGCAUCUUUGUUUUUUGCAGCUGAGGCUUCCUCUUAUCCUCUCCUUCUCGCAGGAAGAACCUGAGGGUAAGUCCUUAUAGAAACCUUGAGGAGUUUGGAUCAGAUUAUUUUGUUCCUGGCUCUUACCAUCUCGGCUUCAGUUUUGUACUUUAUUGGUCUCGUCUUGUUCCUGUUUUAUCUAUGGUACUCCCUCGUCGAUCGCUCCCGCACCAGCCCAUUCGAUUCCAGUGCUCCGCUGAAGUUGCAGGGGUUCUUAUAGGGAGCUGAAGUCGGCCACUUAUGGUUCUGAUUCUGAGGAAAAUGAGAAGAAAUAGGAUGCAGUUUUUUCUUUUUCCAAUAAAUAAUCUUCUUUAUUAACACCUCUUUAUAUAUAAAUUAUUUUUUCUUUAUUCUAUAUUGUUAAGACUUUUUUUCGAGAUUUUUUCUUUAUUCUAUAGUAGCCCUUUUCGCUAAAUGGAAUCUUAAUGUUCAACACUGUGAACAUCUCUCCCCGUCUCUCACAAAUGUGUGCCUCAUUCACCAUUUUUCCUUUUUGUCUCAAGCAGUUCGUACGUAUACCUAUUGCAUGACAGACACGUAUCCAGAUUUUUCUUUCUUUUCAUCCCUUAAUCCCCUUGUUUUUCUCUCUCCCUCCGUAUCGUCACCGUCCCCUCAGAGCGGUAGAUAAGAUCAUCCCCUCUACCCCCUGUUUUUCUAGAGACUGAGAUUGAGGACGAUAUGCGUUAUAAGCUGUCUCAUGCAGGAACACUGGCAUCGCUUCUCCGCAGGUGUAGAAUGUCGUCAACAUGGCGAAGGCGAAGAAUCCCGGUCGCUCUUGGAUGCCGAGAGUUGUCUACAUGUCAGAAUAUGGUAGCUGAUGUAGAUCUGCUCAUUCCUAUCUGGCAGGGGCUUCGUUCCUAUCUGGCAACGUACAACACUUGAGAAGGAGAAGAUGAAGGAUUUUCGGGGAGUUCGCCCGACGGGAACACUUCGAUGCUUAAGUUAGAACUUAGCGAAAAACUUAAAGAGUAAUGACGAGCUAAGAGUGGAGAUGCACACUACUCGGUUACCAAAAAUUCAAUUACCUUUUUUCUUUGGGGUUGGAGCCCUUAUAUAUUAAUGCGCUGCCAAAUCAGGUGUAACCGCCUUUGAUUCUCUGUUAUAGUCGUUAUUCAUCAGGCUGAUUUGAUUGGCGUAGGCAUCUGUUGCAGGGUACGGUCCUGUCACCUGAGAGACGUUGUGCAAAGCUGGCGUGGGCGACGAUGCCGCCUGACGUGAGACGUGGGCGUAGUUCUCUAGACUGGCAGGUGCUGCGCCGUCGGACAAGAGACGUGGGAGCAGUCUGACAAGCACGGUCUUGUCGGAUAAGAAGUUUCCCGAAGGCUCCGGGUUACUCAGUAGCAAGCUCCCUCAUAGCGAGCUCUAAUAGCGAGCUGCCUUGUAGCAAGCCGUUCUGUAGCGAGCUAUCUCGUGGCGAUCUAUUGGAUCCGCUUUGAUAGAGACCGUUGGUUUUUUGGGCAUAGUGGAUAUAAAUAGGAGGGCCCCAGGCCUCAUUUUCUUUACGCCAACUUGCCUUGCUAUCAAUUUGAGGUCACGCCUUCGCCUUGUUUGCUCGAGCUCCCUCCGUUUUCGUUGCUUUCUCAGUUCACUUUUCUGGUGAGUCCUCUAUUUUGUCCAGACAAUGUCUGGGUAUCCGUACUACGGUGGCUUUUCCCGAGAUGGUAAUCAGGGCGAGGUCCCCUCGAGCUCGGGGGGAGCUUGCUACCUUGCAGCAAGCCGUUUUGUAGUGAGCUGUCUCAUGGCGAGCUGUUAUGCUGGAGUUUCAGCAAGCUCAUUACGCCGAGUUGUGGCCAGGCUGUCACACUGAGCUGUCAGUUACGUCGAGUCAUAUCCAUGUGCCCCUUAGUUAGGAGGUUAGGUCAAAUCACCCUCUAUCAAUUGCCCCCCACUCCUCGGGCUAAGGGUCUUACCCUAGCUCAGGGAGUUCAUGAAGCGAUGGGUGGAUUUGACCCAUAAUUUAAACUAGGUUGACUGAUCGCAUGAUGUAUACACGCAGAUGUCAGGCGACUUCUGGAUUUCUUGGGUGCCAAAAAACAUGCCAAACUGCCUUUAGUUUCGAAAGACGUGCAGUCAGCUUUAUUUCAGUCUCAGAGGACAUGCAACCGACUUUAUUACAAGCCGUUGGAUCCGCUUUGAUAGAGACCGUUGGUUUUUUGGGCACAGUGGCUAUAAAUAGGAGGGCCACAUGCCUCAUUUUCUUUAUGCCAACUUGCCUUGCUAUCAAUUUGAGGUCGCGCCUUCGCCUUGUUUGCUCGAGCUUCCUCCGUUUUCGUCGCUUUCUCAGUUCACUUUUCUGGUGAGUCCUCUAUUUUGUCCAAACAAUGUCUAGGUAUCCGUACUAUGGUGGCUUUUCCCGAGAUGGUAAUCAAGGCGAGGUCCCCUCGAGCUCGGGGGAGCUUGGGGGUUCCUUGAAGGGCAGGCUCCGGAAGUCCAUGAGGCCUUCGGUAACUCGGCUUCCACUUCCUGGGGUCGGGAGCCUGAUAGUUUCGGCCCUUCCUCCAUGUCAAUGGAGAGGCUUCGGACCCUAGUCUCUUACUAUAACCUUCCCAGGGAUCUCAUCUACAGCCUCCCAUCCGGUAACUAUCCAUGGGGACACGGCUACAACGAGAUCGUGGUCUUCGAGGAGUAGCUCGUGGCUGGUCUCCGACUCCCUCUACAUCCUUUGAUAGUGGAGGUUCUCACCCAUUUUAAUGUCACCAUAGACCAACUCCAUCCGAAUUCAAUCUGGAAUGUGGUUGGGACAAUUUCUCUAUUUUUCGAGUACUGUCUUCCUCUUUCCCUUAACAUCUUUGCCACUAUCAUUUCAAUUAAGAAUGCCUCCCCCGGAGCCCCUCCAGAGAGGCGCUCGUAUUACUUUUCCCCUCGUCUUGGCUUCAAGCUCCUCCACGAUCUGCCAAACAGUAUCCCAACCUGGAAGCGAGGUUAUUUUGUAGUUCGCAACCCCGAGGGGUGACCCUUUCUGACCAAUUGGAGGGCCGCCAUUCAGGAUCCGGGCGUUGAGCUAAACCCGAAAGUUCGGGAAACGCUGCAGUCUUGGGCGAGGGUAGGCUUCCUCUGUUGGGACUACUUGGCUUUGGACAAGCUCGUGCAUGCCGGCUUGAGCCCCGCCAACAUGUCUGGUGUGGAUGCACGUUACCUUUUGUCGAGCAACCAGAAGCGCAGGGCGAAGAGGUCGCGCCCCGACCACGCCCCGACUAGGCGUCCACUUUUGGGGCCGUCGAGAUCGAGGUUGUAGACCCUGCUUUUGUUCCACCACCGGAGGUCCCACCUGUGCCCUUUGAGGGAGUAGCCGCGGGAGGCAGCGAAGAAGAAGAGGUCCCACCCCAGGAGCAGCACCCUUCAACCGCGCAGUCCGACCCCACUGUCUUCCCGUAGUUUCCUACUGAGGGGAGGGACGAAAGCGUCAUCAACUUCCUCGUGGCCUCGCGGAGGAGCCGGCGGGUGAUCACUCAUGAUGAGGUCGCGAGCUGGGCCGGGAUGCACCAUAGGGAGUUCGCCAAGCUGGCCUCGACUCACUGCAUGGUGUUGAACUCCGCCAUCCACGCCAUGGCCUGCCAGACUGCUAUUCACUCUUAGGACGCCGUCAAUCAAAGGUCAAACGUGCAAAGCCUCCAACGCGAGCUCGACCAAGCCCGGGAGGAAUUUCUCCAGGCUCAGAAGGGGAGCGAGGCCCAGGAGCUGCUCGUUAGGGACCAGGAAGCACAGAUCUCCCGACUGUCUAAGGAGAGCGCCCAUUAUAAGGAUGAGUCUUCGAGGGUGGCGGCAGAGAGGGAGCUUCUUCGCCAGUAGGUCUAGAGCUCAGAGUCCACGCUCCAUGAGAGGACCCGCAACUUCAACGCUGCGGUGGAGGCAGAGCGAGCUAAGGCGGUGGAGGACUUCAAAGAGUCCCAGUAGUUCCACGACCUCCAGGUCGAAUACGGCUCUAAGUCCUACCGCUUGGGGUUCAAGCUUUGUCGGUGGCUGGUCCGGAAGAAGUUCUCCGGCCUUAACCUUGAGGGCGUAACAAUGAGGGACCUUCCCCCAGAGACGGCGGACGCUACGGAGGAGGAGGAUCCCAACUCCCUGGAGGAGAGUGACGAGGACGUAGAGGAGGUGGGGCCUUGAGGCUAGUUGCUCUCUUUUUUUGUUCUGAAAAAUGAUUCUCUUGAAGUGGUUGCUCCCGGGAGGCUGAGCCCAAUUCUCUCUCUUUUCUUUCUACUUUAUUUAUGUACUCUCUCGGGCAGUUAGGCCCGAUUUCUUUUUUAGUAAUGAAAAUGUUCCUUUUUUCUAUUAAGUGUUGUGCUAUUUACUCUUUUGCCGAAGUGACUAUUUCACUUGACUUGCUAGAUCUAAGCACACGAAGUGCAGUUUCUCAACUAUCAUUACUCCAAGCUAUCUCCCCGUAGUUAGUAGGGGGGAUUUUAUAAUGUACACCGAGGUGAACAACACAGUGAGCAUAUGCCCGUCCUGUAUGCACCUAGGUUACUUAAGUUGAACUCGGUUGUCUCUAGCAGGUCCAACUUGUAUAUCGGGGCGGGCUAUGCAUCAUAGGAUUCACACCCGAGCUACCUGUGCCUUUGGUAUUAAUACAUAGCCUAUGCCGAUGAAGCGAUUAGGCCUUAUACGGUGCCGAGGUCUUCGUUAGCUCGGCGUUUUAGCUUUUAGGCCGGGGGAGUGACUUAUGGUCCACUCUCUUAGAGCUAGCCCAUGCCAUAGAGGCGAUUGGGUCUUACAGUGCCGAGGUCUUCGUUAGCUUGGCAUUUUGGCCCUUAGGCUCUGGGAGCGACUAUAGUCCACCCCUCUUCUGGAGUUCACCCAUGCCGAAGAGGCGACUGGGUCUUAUAGUGCCGAGGUCUUUUGUUAUCUCGGCGUAUUGGCCCUUACGCUUUGGGAGCGACUACAGUCCACUUAGCUUGGUGAUUACAGGUAAUACUGCCUUAAGUUGACAAUAUUCCAUGCCCAAGGUACUUGUUUCCCUUCUAGGGUUUCGAGCUCAUACAUUCCUUCCCCGGGCACCUGCUUUACUCAGUAGGGUCUUUCCCAAUUUGGCCCGAGUUUACCAACACCGGGCUCAGUUACCAUAACAUUACGAAGGACCAGGUCAUUGACGCGGAGGUUCCGCUUCUUGACCCUGGCGUUAUAGUAUCGAGCUACUCUCUGCUGGUAGGCCACGGUCCUAAUGUAUGCGAGGUCCCGUACUUCGUCGAGAAGGUCGAGGUUGGUGCGUAGCUCAUCUUCAUUUGCCUUGUCAUCAUACACUUUCAGACGUAGCGUGAGAACUUCGAUCUCGGCUGGGAUGACUGUUUCAGUGCCAUAAGUGAGGUUGAAGGGAGUCUUGCCUGUUGUGGUCUUUACCGUGGUCCGAUAAGCCCAUAGUACACUGGGUAGCUCGUCUACCCAGAGUCCCUUAGCUCGAUCGAGACGUGCCUUCAAUCCGUGGAGAAUGAGUCUGUUCGUGGCCUCCGCCUAACCGUUUGCUUGAGGGUGUGCUACCGAGGUGAAAUUUUGUUGAAUCCCCAUAUCUUUACACCAGUUCUGGAAUUUAAUAUCCUCAAACUGCUUACCGUUGUCAAAGAUUAGUACUUGGGGUAGUCCGAAAUGGCACACUAUACUCUUCGAAAAAAAGUUCUGCACAUUCCGCAUUGUGAUCAUUGUGAGAGGUUCA